rnacentral:rRNA from 1 species
AGAGUUUGAUCCUGGCUCAGAUUGAACGCUGGCGGCAUGCUUUACACAUGCAAGUCGAACGGCAGCGGGGGCUUCGGCCUGCCGGCGAGUGGCGAACGGGUGAGUAAUGCAUCGGAACGUGCCCAGUCAUGGGGGAUAACUACGCGAAAGCGUAGCUGAUACCGCAUACGCCCUGAGGGGGAAAGCGGGGGAUCGCAAGACCUCGCGUGAUUGGAGCGGCCGAUGUCGGAUUAGCUAGUUGGUGGGGUAAAGGCCUACCAAGGCGACGAUCCGUAGCGGGUCUGAGAGGAUGAUCCGCCACACUGGUUCUGAGACACGGCCCAGACUCCUACGGGAGGCAGCAGUGGGGAAUUUUGGACAA